rnacentral:rRNA from 1 species
CCCUUAGAUGUUCUGGGCCGCACGCGCGCUACACUGUUGCAUUCAACAAGCCUAGCCUUGACCGAGAGGUCCGGGUAAUCUUUGAAACUGCAUCGUGAUGGGGCUAGAUUAUUGCAAUUAUUAAUCUUCAACGAGGAAUGCCUAGUAAGCGUGAUUCAUCAAAUCGCGUUGAUUACGUCCCUGCCCUUUGUACACACCGCCCGUCGCUCCUACCGAUUGAAUGUGUUGGUGAGGAGCUCGGAUUGGCAGCAGUUGGUGGUUCGCCACCGGCUAUUGCUGAGAAGUCCUCCAAACCGCCCCAUUUAGAGGAAGGAGAAGUCGUANCA